rnacentral:rRNA from 1 species
AGGCUUAACACAUGCAAGUCGAGGGGCAGCAUGGUCUUAGCUUGCUAAGGCCGAUGGCGACCGGCGCACGGGUGAGUAACACGUAUCCAACCUGCCGUCUACUCUUGGACAGCCUUCUGAAAGGAAGAUUAAUACAAGAUGGCAUCAUGAGUCCGCAUGUUCACAUGAUUAAAGGUAUCCGGUAGACGAUGGGGAUGCGUUCCAUUAGAUAGUAGGCGGGGUAACGGCCCACCUAGUCUUCGAUGGAUAGGGGUUCUGAGAGGGAGGUCCCCCACAUUGGAACUGAGACACGGUCCAAACACCUACGGGAGGCAGCAGUGAGGAAUAUUGGUCAAUGGGCGAGAGCCUGAACCAGCCAAGUAGCGUGAAGGAUGACUGCCCUAUGGGUUGUAAACUUCUUUUAUAAAGGAAUAAAGUCGGGUAUGGAUACCCGUUUGCAUGUACUUUAUGAAUAAGGAUCGGCUAACUCCGUGCCAGCAGGCGCGUAUACGGAGAUCCGAGCGUAUCCGAUUAUUGGUUUAAGGAGCGUAGAUGGAUGUUUAAGUCAGUUGUGAAAGUUUGCGG